rnacentral:rRNA from 1 species
ACUAUCAUUAACUGAAUCCAUAGGUUAAUGAGGCGAACCGGGGGAACUGAAACAUCUAAGUACCCCGAGGAAAAGAAAUCAACCGAGAUUCCCCCAGUAGCGGCGAGCGAACGGGGAGGAGCCCAGAGCCUGAAUCAGUGUGUGUGUUAGUGGAAGCGUCUGGAAAGGCGCGCGAUACAGGGUGACAGCCCCGUACACAAAAAUGCACAUACUGUGAGCUCGAUGAGUAGGGCGGGACACGUGGUAUCCUGUCUGAAUAUGGGGGGACCAUCCUCCAAGGCUAAAUACUCCUGACUGACCGAUAGUGAACCAGUACCGUGAGGGAAAGGCGAAAAGAACCCCGGCGAGGGGAGUGAAAAAGAACCUGAAACCGUGUACGUACAAGCAGUGGGAGCCUCUUAAUGGGGUGACUGCGUACCUUUUGUAUAAUGGGUCAGCGACUUAUAUUCUGUAGCAAGGUUAACCGAAUAGGGGAGCCGAAGGGAAACCGAGUCUUAACUGGGCGUUAAGUUGCAGGGUAUAGACCCGAAACCCGGUGAUCUAGCCAUGGGCAGGUUGAAGGUUGGGUAACACUAACUGGAGGACCGAACCGACUAAUGUUGAAAAAUUAGCGGAUGACUUGUGGCUGGGGGUGAAAGGCCAAUCAAACCGGGAGAUAGCUGGUUCUCCCCGAAAGCUAUUUAGGUAGCGCCUCGUGAAUUCAUCUCCGGGGGUAGAGCACUGUUUCGGCAAGGGGGUCAUCCCGACUUACCAACCCGAUGCAAACUGCGAAUACCGGAGAAUGUUAUCACGGGAGACACACGGCGGGUGCUAACGUCCGUCGUGAAGAGGGAAACAACCCAGACCGCCAGCUAAGGUCCCAAAGUCAUGGUUAAGUGGGAAACGAUGUGGGAAGGCCCAGACAGCCAGGAUGUUGGCUUAGAAGCAGCCAUCAUUUAAAGAAAGCGUAAUAGCUCACUGGUCGAGUCGGCCUGCGCGGAAGAUGUAACGGGGCUAAACCAUGCACCGAAGCUGCGGCAGCGACGCUUAUGCGUUGUUGGGUAGGGGAGCGUUCUGUAAGCCUGUGAAGGUGGCCUGUGAGGGUUGCUGGAGGUAUCAGAAGUGCGAAUGCUGACAUAAGUAACGAUAAAGCGGGUGAAAAGCCCGCUCGCCGGAAGACCAAGGGUUCCUGUCCAACGUUAAUCGGGGCAGGGUGAGUCGACCCCUAAGGCGAGGCCGAAAGGCGUAGUCGAUGGGAAACAGGUUAAUAUUCCUGUACUUGGUGUUACUGCGAAGGGGGGACGGAGAAGGCUAUGUUGGCCGGGCGACGGUUGUCCCGGUUUAAGCGUGUAGGCUGGUUUUCCAGGCAAAUCCGGAAAAUCAAGGCUGAGGCGUGAUGACGAGGCACUACGGUGCUGAAGCGACAAAUGCCCUGCUUCCAGGAAAAGCCUCUAAGCAUCAGGUAACAUUAAAUCGUACCCCAAACCGACACAGGUGGUCAGGUAGAGAAUACCAAGGCGCUUGAGAGAACUCGGGUGAAGGAACUAGGCAAAAUGGUGCCGUAACUUCGGGAGAAGGCACGCUGAUAUGUAGGUGAAGCGACUUGCUCGUGGAGCUGAAAUCAGUCGAAGAUACCAGCUGGCUGCAACUGUUUAUUAAAAACACAGCACUGUGCAAACACGAAAGUGGACGUAUACGGUGUGACGCCUGCCCGGUGCCGGAAGGUUAAUUGAUGGGGUUAGCGGUAACGCGAAGCUCUUGAUCGAAGCCCCGGUAAACGGCGGCCGUAACUAUAACGGUCCUAAGGUAGCGAAAUUCCUUGUCGGGUAAGUUCCGACCUGCACGAAUGGCGUAAUGAUGGCCAGGCUGUCUCCACCCGAGACUCAGUGAAAUUGAACUCGCUGUGAAGAUGCAGUGUACCCGCGGCAAGACGGAAAGACCCCGUGAACCUUUACUAUAGCUUGACACUGAACAUUGAGCCUUGAUGUGUAGGAUAGGUGGGAGGCUUUGAAGUGUGGACGCCAGUCUGCAUGGAGCCGACCUUGAAAUACCACCCUUUAAUGUUUGAUGUUCUAACGUGGGCCCCUUACCGGGGUUGCGGACAGUGUCUGGUGGGUAGUUUGACUGGGGCGGUCUCCUCCUAAAGAGUAACGGAGGAGCACGAAGGUUGGCUAAUCCUGGUCGGACAUCAGGAGGUUAGUGCAAUGGCAUAAGCCAGCUUGACUGCGAGCGUGACGGCGCGAGCAGGUGCGAAAGCAGGUCAUAGUGAUCCGGUGGUUCUGAAUGGAAGGGCCAUCGCUCAACGGAUAAAAGGUACUCCGGGGAUAACAGGCUGAUACCGCCCAAGAGUUCAUAUCGACGGCGGUGUUUGGCACCUCGAUGUCGGCUCAUCACAUCCUGGGGCUGAAGUAGGUCCCAAGGGUAUGGCUGUUCGCCAUUUAAAGUGGUACGCGAGCUGGGUUUAGAACGUCGUGAGACAGUUCGGUCCCUAUCUGCCGUGGGCGCUGGAGAACUGAGGGGGGCUGCUCCUAGUACGAGAGGACCGGAGUGGACGCAUCACUGGUGUUCGGGUUGUCAUGCCAAUGGCACUGCCCGGUAGCUAAAUGCGGAAGAGAUAAGUGCUGAAAGCAUCUAAGCACGAAACUUGCCCCGAGAUGAGUUCUCCCUGACUCCUUGA